UUCCGGUUGAUCCUGCCGGACCUGACUGCUAUCGGAUUGAUACUAAGCCAUGCGAGUCAUUGUAGUAAUACAAGGCAGACGGCUCAGUAACGCGUAGUCAACCUACCCUAUGGACGGGAAUAACCUCGGGAAACUGAGUAUAAUGCCCGAUAGAACAUUAUACCUGGAAUGGUUUAUGUUCCAAAUGAUUUAUCGCCAUUGGAUGGGACUGCGGCCUAUCAGUUUGUUGGUGAGGUAAUGGCCCACCAAGACUAUUACAGGUACGGGCUCUGAGAGGAGUGGCCCGGAGAUGGGUACUGAGACACGGACCCAGGCCCUAUGGGGCGCAGCAGGCGAGAAAACUUUGCAAUGUGCGAAAGCACGACAAGGUUAAUCCGAGUGGUUUCUGCUAAAGGAACCUUUUGUCAGUCCUAGAAACACUAACGAAUAAGGGGUGGGCAAGUUCUGGUGUCAGCCGCCGCGGUAAAACCAGCACCUCAAGUGGUCAGGAUGAUUAUUGGGCCUAAAGCAUCCGUAGCCGGCUCUAUAAGUUUUCGGUUAAAUCUGUACGCUUAACGUACAGGCUGCCGGGAAUACUGCAGAGCUAGGGAGUGGGAGAGGUAGACGGUACUCGGUAGGAAGGGGUAAAAUCCUUUGAUCUAUUGAUGACCACCUGUGGCGAAGGCGGUCUACCAGAACACGUCCGACGGUGAGGGAUGAAAGCUGGGGGAGCAAACCGGAUUAGAUACCCGGGUAGUCCCAGCUGUAAACUAUGCAAACUCAGUGAUGCAUUGGCUUGUGGCCAAUGCAGUGCUGCAGGGAAGCCGUUAAGUUUGCCGCCUGGGAAGUACGUACGCAAGUAUGAAACUUAAAGGAAUUGGCGGGGGAGCACCACAAGGGGUGAAGCCUGCGGUUCAAUUGGAUUCAACGCCGA
rnacentral:rRNA from 1 species